rnacentral:rRNA from 1 species
GAUCAUGGCUCAGGACGAACGCUGGCGGCGCGCCUAACACAUGCAAGUCGAACGGAGAGAGAAGGAGCUUGCUUCUUCGAUCGAGUGGCGAACGGGUGAGUAACGCGUGAGGAACCUGCCUCAAAGAGGGGGGACAACAGUUGGAAACGACUGCUAAUACCGCAUAAGCCCACGGGUCGGCAUCGAUCUGAGGGAAGGGAGCAAUCCGCUUUGAGAUGGCCUCGCGUCCGAUUAGCUAG